AUUGAACGCUGGCGGCAGGCCUAACACAUGCAAGUCGAACGAGUGGCGGACGGGUGAGUAAUGUCUGGGAAAAUGCCUGAUGGAGGGGGAUAACUACUGGAACCGGUAGCUAAUACCGCAUACCAUCGGAUGUGCCCAGAUGGGAUUAGCUAGUAGGUGGGGUAAAGGCUCACGUAGGCGACGAGCCCUCGCUGGUCUGCGAGGAGGACCAGCCAAACUGGAACUGAGACACGGGCCCGACUCCUCCGGGAGGCAGCAGUGGGGAAUAUUGCACAAUGGGCGCAAGCCGGAUGCAGCCAUGCCGCGUGGAUGAAGAAGGCCUUCGGGUUGUAAAGUACUUUCAGCGGGGAGGCGUUACCCGCAGAAGAAGCACCGGCUAACUCCGUGCCAGCAGCCGCGGUAAUUC
rnacentral:rRNA from 1 species